rnacentral:rRNA from 1 species
GAUUAACGCUAGCGGCAGGCAUAAUACAUGCAAGUUGAACGGCAGCACAGGUAGCAAUACUGGGUGGCGAGUGGCGCACGGGUGCGUAACACGUAUGCAACCUACCCUAUACAGGCGAAUAACCUUUAGAAAUGAGGGCUAAUACGCCGUAGUAUUACAGAUGGGCAUCUAUUUGUAAUUAAAGAUUUAUCGGUAUAGGAUGGGCAUGCGUCCCAUUAGUUAGUUGGCAAGGUAACGGCUUACCAAGACGAUGAUGGGUAGGGGAUCUGAGAGGACUUACCCCCACACUGGUACUGAGACACGGACCAGACUCCUACGGGAGGCAGCAGUAAGGAAUAUUGGGCAAUGGCCGCGAGGCUGACCCAGCCAUGCCGCGUGCAGGAAGACGGCCUUAUGGGUUGUAAACUGCUUUUAUACGGGAAUAAUAGAGUGUACGCGUACAUUUAUGCAAGUAUCGUAUGAAUAAGCAUCGGCUAACUCCGUG